rnacentral:rRNA from 1 species
CAGUCGCCACGGGAAUGCGAAGGUGGCUAGCGUUGUUCGGAUUUACUGGGCGUAAAGGGCGCGUAGGCGGGCGAAUAAGUCAGGGGUGAAAUCCCAAGGCUCAACCUUGGAACUGCCUUUGAUACUGUUUGUCUUGAGUUCGAGAGAGGUAAGUGGAACUGCGAGUGUAGAGGUGAAAUUCGUAGAUAUUCGCAAGAACACCAGUGGCGAAGGCGGCUUACUGGCUCGAAACUGACGCUGAGGCGCGAAAGCGUGGGGAGCAAACAGGAUUAGAUACCCCCGUAGUCCCUGUCUCUUAUAA